rnacentral:lncRNA from 1 species
AUGCAUGAUAAUUGCAGUUGCAAUGCUAAAAAUCACCACAUCGGCUCUCUUUAAAUUUUUAGACCGAGGCAAAUACCCAACAUCGACCAUGCACGUGACGAAACUCUCAAGUGCCCGAGCAAGGCAGUAGAGUGAAAUCUCUAUCCUUCUGCUCUUCUUCUCAAUUGCCAGGGCCAGACCAGUAGGUAACUGCCAAAAGAUUUUAUGUUAACUUUAUAGUGGGAGAAGUAAACACCUGGUUAAGAAAAUUAAUUGAAUGGUCCUAUACCGUUCCCAGUGCCACCAUGGUUAUGUUACAUCUCUUGAACAGCCUGAAGAGGGACCAUGCACGUGACGAAACUCUCAAGUGCACGAGCAAGGCAGUAGAGUGAAAUCUCUAUCCUUCUGCUCUUCUUCUCAAUUGCCAGGGCCAGACCAGUAGGUAACUGCCAAAAGAUUU